AUAAAGCCUCUGGUUUUACCACCAAGAAAAGAUUAUAUAUGAGAUUUGAGGGGAAGAUGGAAAUAUGAUGAAAAUGAAGAAAGAAAGGAGGAUGAAGAGUAACAGUGGGAAGGGACUAGGACCAAAGUAUUUCCAUGAGGACACCUGACCUGAGUUACAGUUUUACAGUGUGUCAUAUGCAAGCAGACAACUGUGUGUGUUGGAAAUUGGAAUGGGAAUCAGCAUGCGUCCAAUGAUGAGUCCACAUGCGGGAAUCGACAAUGGUGCAGCAGUGAGGAAAAGAGUUGCAAAGCGGUGAGCUGAGACCACAUUCUAAUGUUUGGGGGAUUUUGAUGAAUCCUGUUCUAACCAUGUUGAGAUUACUCUGAGAUUUGAACCUGUUGUAAAAUUUCCAAGUCUUGCUUUCAGGACUAGCUGUUACCAACUUUAUUUAUUCUGAUUAUGUGAGGAACAUGAUAAGGAUUGUUGAACAAGUACAUGGAGGUUUUGCAAAUGAUGAAAUUAUAUAACGGCAUGUAUGCAAACAAUAGAAUUAUACUGUGAUCCAAUAAGGCUAGCGGAUUGCAUUUGAACAAGAAUAAUUCUUGAAACAGUUGUCAAGAGAA